rnacentral:rRNA from 1 species
GGACUAGAGAUAGUCCUUUCUCUUCGGAGACCUCGGUGACAGGUGGUGCAUGGUUGUCGUCAGCUCGUGUCGUGAGAUGUUGGGUUAAGUCCCGCAACGAGCGCAACCCUUAUUGUUAGUUGCUACGCAAGAGCACUCUAGCGAGACUGCCGUUGACAAAACGGAGGAAGGUGGGGACGACGUCAAAUCAUCAUGCCCCUUAUGUCCUGGGCCACACACGUACUACAAUGGUGGUAAACAGAGGGAAGCAAGACCGCGAGGUGGAGCAAAUCCCUAAAAGCCAUCCCAGUUCGGAUCGCAGGCUGCAACCCGCCUGCGUGAAGUUGGAAUCGCUAGUAAUCGCGGAUCAGCAUGCCGCGGUGAAUACGUUCCCGGGCCUUGUACACACCGCCCGUCACACCAUGAGAGUCGGGAACACCCGAAGUCCGUAGCCUAACCGCAAGGGGGGCGCGGCCGAAGGUGGGUUCGAUAAUUGGGGUGAAGUCGUAACAAGGUAGCCGUAUCGGA